rnacentral:rRNA from 1 species
AUUGAACGCUGGCGGCAUGCCUUACACAUGCAAGUCGAACGGCAGCGGGCCCUUCGGGGUGCCGGCGAGUGGCGAACGGGUGAGUAAUGCAUCGGAACGUACCCGGGAGAGGGGGAUAACCGGCCGAAAGGCUGGCUAAUACCGCAUGAACUCGGAAGAGCAAAGCGGGGGACCUUCGGGCCUCGCGCCCUCGGAGCGGCCGAUGUCCGAUUAGGCUAGUUGGUGGGGUAAAGGCCCACCAAGGCGACGAUCGGUAGCGGGUCUGAGAGGACGAUCCGCCACACGGGGACUGAGACACGGCCCAGACUCCUACGGGAGGCAGCAGUGGGGAAUCUUGGACAAUGGGCGCAAGCCUGAUCCAGCAAUGCCGCGUGGGUGAAGAAGGCCUUCGGGUUGUAAAGCCCUUUCGGCGGGGAAGAAAUCGGUCAGGCGAAUAGUCUGGCCGGAUGACGGUACCCGCAGAAGAAGCACCGGCUAACUACGUG